rnacentral:tRNA from 1 species
GUCGGGAUAGCUCAGCUGGUAGAGCAGAGGACUGAAAAUCCUCGUGUCACCNNUUCAAAU